ACUCGUACUCACCAAGCACUAGGAACAUGCAGCUCGGUACUGAAGGAGUGCAUGUGUAUUCUAUCAUAGUCUUGAUCGUAGCGGAAAGAUGACUACAGUGUAGAAUACACCAGCUAGCGUUUCCACAAGCCUGCGACCCAGACGUGGCCAAUGUUGUGGCACUAACACGAUAAGCUGAACUUGGAAAUCACACAGUUCCGGACACAUCAUCUUUAACUCACGUUCCUAAUGCAUCUCAUUCACAACAAGGAAAUCACACAGUAUUGGUCUGUUCACUGCGCACUUGAUCAUGAGUUACCCUGCUUUUUCAUGUUCUCCUCUUAGCAGGAGAAGCAAACUGGCACUACAUAAGCAUAUCAUGCUAC
rnacentral:lncRNA from 1 species